rnacentral:tRNA from 1 species
UUCUGUGGCUUAGUUGGUUAAGGCGCUGGUCCAGUAAAUUCGAAGUCGUGGGUUCGAAUCCCAUCGGGA